AUGGCAGGGACGGUGCUGAGCAUGGCGAGGUCCAUGAUGGUGGGCGCCAUUAGUAAGGCCGCAUCCGCUGCCGCCAAUGAGAUGAGCCUCCUCAUGGGUGUGCGCAAGGAUAUCUGGGCUUCGACUCUCUUCAUGUAG
rnacentral:rRNA from 1 species